UCACAAUUUAUACUUAAAUUUUAUUGAAUAUUAUUUAUUGAAUACAUUUUUGUUCGGUGGCAAUCCUCAAAGCCUAAAUCUAAAUAUGUGGGGGUAUCUUAUCUUUUCAAGGAACAAAUUGGUUUUAUUUGCAAUGCAUUAAGGGCCUAUAAAUUCAUAUAAGAAUAUUUUUCAAGUACAACAUUAUUUAAAAGGUCGUUUUUAAAUAGGAUGAAUAAUGAGCUUUAGGUCAGGAGAAUGCGUUUCUUCAGUGAAAAAUGCUAGAAAAUGCUUAUAAUUAUGGGUCUUGUUUAAUUGAACCCCUUCGCGCAAUGUGUGUGUGUGUGUUUGAAAGUUUAAAUAUAUGUUUGAAACGUUCAUGUAAUAUGAACAAAAAAGUACAAUAUUAUAUCAUUAACGAUGCUCUAAUUGUUCUUGUUGUUUAUUUUUCGCAAUAAUCUCUAAAUUUGUGUCAAUAAUACUUUUAUAUUUUGUUAGAUACUAAGGUACUUUCGUUUUGCAAUCGUUUAUGUAAGAAGAGGACGAAUGAGUCCGAAUCUUCACCAAAUUCGACUGAUGAGAGACGCCCAAACAGUGAAAGAACGACAAAUGAUUCUGAAACUCAAACUUUGACCUUAUCAAGUAGCACAUAACGAGAGUGAUGAUGUUGAUAACAUUGUAUUCAAUGAAUUAGCAAUGUUAUGGUAAAGGACAAAAGUUAAGUAGUCAGACAAUUUUUAAACAAGUAAUAAUAGAUGUUAUAUUUUAUUCUAAAUUGUUUUAUUUUAAAUUUUAUUAUAGUUAAUUCGUUCAUUUUAUUUUACCUUCUCAGACUUAGUAGCUGAAAGAUUUGUGACAAAAUAUAAAGUAAUAUAUGUAGAAUUAAAGAUAUUUAAAAGUAACUAUUUAAAUAAGCUAAGUUUAGUAGCACAAGAUUAUAUCGUAUUUAAAGAACUUUAUCCUUAUUGAGUAUUUAAAUUUAUAAACAAAUUCUACGAAUUAAAAAAAAUUCAAAUAGCAUUUUCUAUCAUUUUUUUUUUUAAUUUCAAUUUAUCAUUCACAUCUACUUUCUAUUAUUUUUUUCCCUUUCACAGUUUUCGUCAAUGUCUUUUUUAUUUCAACCAUAUCUCUUUUCUAUGCCAUCUCUUCCCCUCUCCAUUUUUCUUUCUCUCUCUCUCUCUCUCUCUUUCUAUCUAUUAAUUUCCCUCUCUCCGUAGUGCGGUCUGAGGCUAUAGCUUUCCAUUAGUCAAAAUCAAGUUACCUGCUUUAAAGAACCGUUACAUCCACAUAUCAGAACUAUUAAUGACCAUUUUUACAUUUUCUCAUCACGAGUAUUCGUCGAAAUUUAGAAAACAUACAAAUAUACACGGCGCAGGGGAUCUUACUUGAAAUGCCAGCGUGUUUCCUUCCUCUCAUAGAAUUUUAUAGGAUAGCAGAUGCAUCAGGUGAAAGUGCCAGAUUGCAAGCGAAAUAUGCUUAAAUGUCACCUUACAAGUUACCGACGAUACCGCAAUGAUCAUAAAAACAUCCACUUUUUAUACACACGAAGGCGUUUCAUGCAGACCAGAAACUUCUCCAGAAAUCUGGACUUUCGUGGGAUUCUAGUGUUAAGACCGACUUCUUCAAGUUGAUGGCAUCCGCUUCAGGCUCACCCUUAAAGAAUUUCUCUUCCACAAACUCCACCGCUGUAAGCAACGCUUCUAUUUCUUCUUCAUGACUUCAAUCUUCACUGUAAGAGCUCUUCUAUUUUUCAAAAUUGGUGGUGUCAGAAAAUCUUAUCACCGCACCACAAGCAGCUCUCAAAGUUCCUUCGAUUCUAUCCACAGAUUCGUCUGUGUAGAUGGCGGUUAUACCUGAAGGGUAAGAAUUGAUAGUUUCACUAACUGUUUUGAAUAGCCGAGUCGGGUAGCUUUUUUUUCUCUUUCUCUGAUUAAGUACACAUGUGCGGAUUAUUGCAUUGUUUCUGGGGCUAAGAAUUGGUGUGAGAUAGAGCCUUCCUCUCGUCCGGUAUGUAGCAUCUCUCAAAACAGCCAUCUCGCCAACUGCAUGAAGCAGGGUCUUCAAUAGUACGCCUGUAAGCGAUUCAGCCCUAACCAUCUGAAUCAUUUUUGUGUUUACAUGAAAGCUCGCUCCCGUCACAAUUUUAACGGAGGCACAUUGGCCAUAAUUUCGACUACGGCUUUCGGGGUCAGUCUUAUGGCUUGACACUGAACAGCGUUACUAAGACUUAAACAAAUUACAUACGUUUGCGAUGCUAAGAUUUGAAAGGGUAGAGUGUAACCCUAUUUAAAAGCCCACUGUGCCCAUGUAGAACACUCUCAGCACAUCAAUUCUUACACCCCAUCUCGCUAUAUAACCGCACACCUUCCAUAUUUCUGAUUGAGAGUAACUCCAAAGUACUUGGCUUUUUCUCCCAUUCCAUUUUGUUCCAUCCACCCAUAGCUCGAUUGGAUCCUUAAGAAUAUGUAAAUCAAUAUUAAAUAGAUUUCUAGUAGUUUGCUUUAAGGUGACACAAUAGACCGAAGCAAAAUACCGCUGUUAAUGCACAACACAAUAUCAUAAGCAAACAUUAAAUUUUGACAUUUCAAGAAAACAGGGAAAGUCAUUGGAGAAUACUAUGAGCAAUGUAAAACUGGGUGCAAAACCUAACAGCUAACGCUGCUUUAAUGGCCUCGACGCGCUCUUACCAAAGCAUAAAUGAACCGUCCUUUGCGCUGCCUCUAUGAGGUUUUUUAAUCCUAUAAACAUACAAAAAAAUCGAGACUUUAGAACAGCCGACGGCUGUACAGACGUCUCAAAAAGGCUCACAUACUUAACCGGUGGGUAGAGCAAUACUAAAACAGAAAGUAUAUUGUCUUUCACUUUCAUCUGUCCCUAAGUCUGUUGAACCAUUGGGCCUACACAUAUGAUCUGUUCACCUCCUUUAUCCAUUUCUAUAUCUUUUUUUCUUGAAUAGAAUCUCUUGCAAUGACAUGUUCGAUAAUUUGAAGUUAAUUUUAGCAUAGUGAGUUAUCAAGUGUACAUAAUUAAUUAAUGUAGACAUGAAUAUUGAUGAAUUUAUAUCAAACAUGAUGAUAUUUUCGCUACUUAAUAUUAUUUGGCUACAAUUGUUUUUACCAGCACUAUAAUUAGAAAAAAAUGCGUUUUUUUUUUUUUAUCAAUGUUCUUCCAUAAUGUUUUUGUCACAACUGUAAAAAUGUAUUAUUAAUAUGCCAUUUGUAUAUUAAGUUACAGGCUUAUAAAACACACAUUAGAGAAACAUGUUUUUUAUUUAUUGUAAGUAGGUCUCAUAGAUUACAGAUGUUACUUCCGAAAUGAAGAUAAUUACGCUCUACGCAUUUCAUGUAUCAUUCUUUUCAUGCAUGUUAAUCAGUGACUUAAACUCUUCUAAUUUGUUGGUUUCCCUGGCUGAAAAGGACGAUAAUGAUACAUUAUUGCUUUAUAUUUAAAUUAAAAUAUUCUUUUAAACAUUUAAAAUUAUAGAGAUAAAGAAAGUUGAUACAAUUGAAUUCAAUGAGACAAUUUAUGAUCACUUUGACGCUCGUAGACGCGCACUGUGUCAUAAAUAAGUUUAGAUAAUAUCUUUCUUUUUAAAGUUGUAAUUUUGAUAUUCAAAAAAUGUAUAUUGUUGUUUUUUUCAUAUUAUAUAUGCUAGUCAAAUACUGAUAAUAUAUAAAUAAAAUAUGAUGAUGUAUUUUAUUUUGAAUGUAAUGUAAAUGUUUUUUUUGUAUUUGUUUUCGUAGACGUUUAGUAAGUUACACACUAGUUUGAAUAAAUAUAAAAAUAUUGUUAUUAUUUCCUUGAGUAGCGCAAUAGCAAUUACUAGUUUUUAGAGUGAUAAGAGUACUGUAUGAUGUAUUAUAUUUUGUUGACCUAAAUGUAACAUGGCAUUUUUUAUAGCAUUUAUUCAUUAUUUACAGUAUUAAGUUAUGUUCUCAUAUCAUGUAAUCAAAUGAAAUAAAGCUGUAUUGGCUUAACAAUAGUGUUGAAGUGUC